GACGAACGCUGGCGGCGUGCCUAAUACAUGCAAGUCGAGCGGACCUUUCGGGGUCAGCGGCGGACGGGUGAGUAACACGUGGGCAAUCUGCCCGAUACUCUGGGAUAACGCUUGGAAACGAGUGCUAAUACCGGAUGGUCUUCUUGGCCGCAUGGCCGAGAAGGAAAAGACGCGUUCGCGUCGGUGUCGGAUGAGCCCGCGGCGCAUUAGCUAGUUGGUGAGGUAACGGCCCACCAAGGCGAUGAUGCAUAGCCGACCUGAGAGGGUGAUCGGCCACAUUGGGACUGAGACACGGCCCAAACUCCUACGGGAGGCAGCAGUAGGGAAUCUUCGGCAAUGGACGCAAGUCUGACCGAGCAAUGCCGCGUGAGUGAAGAAGGUUUUCGGAUCGUAAAGCUCUGUUGUUAGAGAAGAACAAGUAAGAUAGUAACUGAUCUUGCCUUGACGGUAUCUAACCAGAAAGCCACGGCUAACUACGUGCCAGCAGCCGCAGUAACAC
rnacentral:rRNA from 1 species